UACGUAGGGCGCAAGCGUUGUCCGGAAUUAUUGGGCGUAAAGAGCUCGUAGGCGGCUUGUCACGUCGGGUGUGAAAGCCCACUGCUUAACGGUGGGUCUGCUUCCGGUACGGGCGGGCUGGAGUGUGGCAGGGGAGACUGGAAUUCCUGGUGUAGCGGUGGAAUGCGCAGAUAUCAGGAGGAACACCGGCGGUGUAGACGGCUUUCUGGACCGUAGCUGACGCUGAGACACGAAAGCGUGGGUAGCAAACAGG
rnacentral:rRNA from 1 species